rnacentral:rRNA from 1 species
UACGUAGGGCGCAAGCGUUGUCCGGAAUCAUUGGGCGUAAAGAGCUCGUAGGUGGUCUGUUACGUCUGCUGUGAAAUCCUAGGGCUUAACCCUGGGCCUGCAGUGGAUACGGGCAGACUAGAGGUAGGUAGGGGAGAAUGGAAUUCCCGGUGUAGCGGUGAAAUGCGCAGAUAUCGGGAGGAACACCGGUGGCGAAGGCGGUUCUCUGGGCCUUACCUGACACUGAGGAGCCAAAGCGUGGGGAGCGAACAGG